AUCGCUUCUCGACCUUUUGGCUAAGAUCAAAUGUCAUAUCUGUUCUUUUCAGUUUAAUAUCUGAUAUGUCCUCCAUGUGAGGACUACAUAUUAAACAAAUCUUUAGUACCGGGAGCUGAAGGAGGGGCUUACUCCUUUCAGUCCACACAUCAACCCAGCACUGCAGCACUGCAGCACCACCAGCAACAGUGCACCCUUC
rnacentral:snRNA from 1 species